rnacentral:rRNA from 1 species
UACAGAGGUCUCAAGCGUUGUUCGGAUUCAUUGGGCGUAAAAGGUGCGUAGGUGGCGCUGUAAGUCGGGUGUGAAAUUUCGGAGCUUAACUCCGAAACUGCAUUCGAUACUGCGGUGCUUGGGGACUGGAGAGGAGACUGGAAUUCAUGGUGUAGCAGUGAAAUGCGUAGAGAUCAUGAGGAAGACCAGUGGCGAAGGCGGGUCUCUGGACAGUUCCUGACACUGAGGCACGAAGGCCAGGGGAGCAAACGGG